ACCUAGCUGGCUCAGGUAGAAGAGUGAGUGACUUUUAAUCUUGGGGUCAUGGGUUCAAGCACCAUGUUGGGUG
rnacentral:tRNA from 1 species